UUUUGUUGUAAUUACCUCGGGGCGAGCGACGCACGCACGCACGGCGGCGGAGAGGGGAGAGAGAGGGGAGAGCAGAGAGAGAGAGAAAAAACGGUUGUUUAUUGUUCACUGUUGAUUUUUCUUUCCGUGUUGUGUCAACACGAGGGCGAAACACACGGGGCGAGAUGUUUAAUCUGAAGCGGAAAGCAAAACAAUGACGGGUGAAGCGCCAGGCGCGCCGCUCCGCGCGACACAGCGCAGGUUGCAGCGCGCGCGACCACCUCCUCUCUGCGACUCUCCAUAGGCAGAGACUGCGACUCUCCAUAGCCAGAGACUGCGACUCUCCAUAGGCAGACAGAGACUGCGACUCUCCAUAGGCAGACAGAGACUGGGACUCUCCAUAGCCAGAGACUGCGACUCUCCAUAGCCAGACAGAGACUGCGACUCUCCAUAGCCAGAGACUGCGACUCUCCAUAGCCAGAGACUGCGACUCUCCAUAGCCAGAGACUGCGACUCUCCUUAGCCAGAGACUGCGACUCUCCAUAGGCAGACAGAGACUGCGACUCUCCAUAGACAGACAGAGACUGCGACUCUCCAUAGCCAGAGACUGCGACUCUCCAUAGGCAGACAGAGACUGCGACUCUCCAUAGGCAGACAGAGACUGCGACUCUCCAUAGCCAGAGACUGCGACUCUCCAUAGCCAGAGACUGCGACUCUCCAUAGGCAGGUAGAGACUGCGACUCUCCAUAGCCAGAGACUGCGACUCUCCAUAGCCAGAGACUGCGACUCUCCAUAGCCAGAGACUGCGACUCUCCAUAGCCAGAGACUGCGACUCUCCAUAGCCAGAGACUGCGACUCUCCAUAGCCAGACAAGAGACUGCGACUCUCCAUAGGCAGACAGAGACUGCGACUCUCCAUAGGCAGACAGAGACUGCGACUCUCCAUAGGCAGGUAGAGACUGCGACUCUCCAUAGCCAGAGACUGCGACUCUCCAUAGCCAGAGACUGCGACUCUCCAUAGGCAGA